rnacentral:lncRNA from 1 species
AAAAUUCUUAAAAAACACACAUUUUUAUUUUUUUUUAAUUUACUCAAAAUUUCAAAAUUUUAAAAGAAAAGUGAGAUAGCAAAGUGUAAUUACACCUUUUAGCAUUAAUCACCAAAAAAAGAAUUUUUUUUACUUUGAAAAUGUGUUUUAUAAUUCAAGUAUUCCCAAAAGCGUUUUUGGUGGGAUAUUUGGGACGUUAAUCUGGGGUUUUUUGGGACCAAUGUCUGUAAUGGGCGGAGCUUAGCUCAGUGACAACGCUGAAAAAAUAAUAAUUUUAAACAAUUUAUUUUCUUAAUUUAGCAAUAACCUAAAAUCAUAGCGAAAAACAAAUAGGCCUACUGGGUGGAAAUUAUAUAAUAGCAUGAUAUUUUUAAAAGAAUAUAUAACAAUUUUUUGGUGCUAAAUUUAGAGUGUUUCACCCUGUCCCAUAUAAACCCCGAAUUUUUCCACGCCCACUUUUUUUCGCAACUUUAAAAAAUGGUAGCGGGUAAACUAACGACUCUAAAAUAAAAUAAGAAAUACUGUAGAUAGAAAAAAGUUAGACAAAUACAAUAAAACAUUUAUUUUACAAAUCGGAUGAUUAGGAAAGGACCUAAACGAGAAAAACGAAAACCGGCCCAAAUAACCCCACUCUCCCUAUCCCCUCAUUGUCCUACACACUCUUCAUAUAAUUAGAUUACUGCUAUAUCCACUCGAAAAUCUUGUUAGUUUAUUUGUUAUUUCCUUUUGGUACUACAAGGGGUCUAGACACCGAGUUAUAACCAUUUCACGCCGAUAACUUCUAAACGGCAUAAAAGAUGUCGAUGCGGUGCGGACAGUAAUUUGCGUGACGUGGCGCUACGCACUACUACAGUAGGUACCGAAAGUAUCCGUACGGCUGAGAGGAUCAGUAAGGAAAACGCGUUUUUCAAAACGCCCCCAUUAAUAGAAUUCUCGGUGGAAUUCAAUAAAUAUUUUUUCUAAGGUUAGUAUUAGGGUGGGGUUUCAUGUGAAUUUUUUGGGGGAUUUUUCAACAACGCGAUAUGUGGUUCUUAUUGCGUUGCGAAAGUAUCCGUACGGCCGAGAGGCCUAGUAGAAAUUGGGCUUACAUUGGGCGCCUGUUAUUCGGUAACUAUAUAAUAUUAUAGAGCGAAACAGUUCUUAAAACCAAGAACUGCAUUAGCUGUAUGUGUGGUCAUAAAAUCACAUUUUUUUAAGUUUCAUUUAUAGUAAUGAAAUUGAAUAUGAAAACACGAAUUAUAAGUUUUCCGUUUAUUUCCCCUCGAUUCCCCCUCAUCAGUGUUGCCAUAUCCCAAAAUCCCUUCUUCCCUUGGACGGACGAGGGAGAAAGAGAAAGGGUAAAGAUUUUACUAAUAAAGCUAAUACCAAGAGGGACCAGCCGUUACGCGGCAAAUUAAUUUUCUUGAAAACGCCCCUUACCAGUUCUUCAGUCCUGAUCUUGAAGAAUGGAAAGAAGAGAAAAAAGGGGUGCUCGGUUUUCAGCAUCUAUUUUCUUGUGGAAGGAUCUAGUCUACGUUACACAAAUGAAAAGAAAAAUGUCUUUCAUUAAAAAUUAAUAACAAGAAAAGUCAAAUAAAUUUCUAGUUAUAAACGAUCACCCGAUAGUUAAGUUAAAUGCCAUGAAGAAUGUAUAAAAAAGGGGAAAAAAAGUAAAACAAUUCUUUAACUCAGGAACUUAGGAAGUCUCCUAAGCCUCCAUACAAAAAAAGUAACUGGUUUGUAUAGAUCUUAUUCGAAAAAAGUAGGCAAAACGCGGCAAAACGCUAGACGUGGUGCGCAGCAUACGCCAAUGCGAAACAAUGUGGCUCAAAGACGAACUAAUCUUUUAUUUGAGCUUUUCAUUCCUUACAUUUUUGUAGGCGUGAUUACCUCUGUCAAACUUGGUAGGACUGUGGUGUAAAGCACGGUGAUGAGAAGAACAAACGGAGACUAAAAGACAGUGAAAUUACAAGUUGUUUGACAUAGGCCUGUAUAUUUAAUCAUUUUUCCUGUAAGAUAUGAUAGAUCAGAGCAAAUUAUAAGCUGUUUGACACAUACCUAAUGUUCCUAUAAAAUAGUCAACGCUCUUGAAGAGAGAUCACGCACGACGCACGACUUAUCACGCAGGGGAGGGGGGCCGGAUAUUUCAUGAAAAAAACAUGUAACUUUUUCUGUGCGGCGAUUAGAACGACGGAAAAAUGAAGAGAUCCCCCAAAGACAAUUUUGCUGUGGAUUCCGUAUCCUAUACUUACGGUGCUCGCAAGAAAAAUAAGACUGCACUCUCGUACUUGUUCGGUCUACAUAUUUGUAGCUGGUGUACAAAUUCGUCUUUGUACACCUUUUGUACACGUUUGUAUAUCCUGUACAGGAAAACUAAGAUUUGUACGCCUCAUGUGGAAGUAUGAAAAUUAGUUUUUUUUUUAGUUUUUUACUCUUUUAGCGAAAGGAAGAGACCCACAAAUCUAAUUUUUGACCACGUUUCUCUCCCAUUCCUAAACCGCUCUAAUCUCAAGUUCUUUCUUGAAAACCCAUAAUGGAAAUCCAUAAUGGCGGCUAAAAACAAAAAAUUGUCUAAGUCCCAUCACUGAAAUUCAAUGGGGCUAGAUGUUAGUAGUGUUGAUAUCUUUGUGGCAUUCAGUUUUUUUAAUGAGAUAGAGAGUAAGUGGGCUUUAAGUACGCAAUCCAAAUUUUUUUGUAUCCUUGUGUCAUCCCCCCCCUUUUUUAUUCCCCCCUUUAAGUCCUGGUACUUGACGCUUGAGUGAAGAACGAGUUAGUUGUUUCUUAAACUUAGAGAAAAAUGGCAUAAAAAUAUGCAGAUGUUAUGUAAAGGAGUUUUUACGAUUACUAAAUUAUUCGGACCGCGAACGAGGUUCCUCAACUUAUGUUGGAUUCCCCUGGUAGAAGUGGCUUCAUCCCUUUUCUGCCAGGAGAGAUUUUCCGACCUUUGGCAGUUCUCGUUUCGUUGACUUCGAAUGCGGAUCUUUGAUUUGGGCAGAUUUUCUUUUGAAACAUCCUUAGGUGAAAAGAAGCUUCCAGAAAGACUUCAUCGAGGAAUACUUCAAUUGACUCGUUGCUUACGUAAACACUUUAAAAAAGGACAUAUAGUGCUCGCACGAUGGAGUUAAGGCUCUUAUGCUUUUGUUGUCCACACACCCCAGCAUGUUAAGCAUUCGCAAGAUACCUGCUACUCAGCUCAUGGAGAGAUUCAUCGUGUUCAGAGACGAGAACAUUUACUUAGAGGACUUUGCCUCUGUUUCAAAACCCGUCUAUUUGAAACAACCUUUUCUUGUGUGCGUCGGUUCUGUGGCUAAUCCUGGCCCUUUCUAUUUAAUAAUAGAUCACACCGUCAUCCCAUGCGACGAAGAUAUUGAUGUUGCCUUCCGAAACCUCUACGCUUCGUUUUACACUUUCCAUAUUGAUUAUCCGUUUCACAUCAAAAUGUUCUACGCCUUCUUCGAUGAAAUCGUGUUUAGAGUGGAAAGUAAGAAGGAAAUAAGAACGACGAACCGGAAUUUUGCAAACGUGUUACAGAAAACAGUGCCCCGUACUCACGGCCAUGCUACUGUACACGAUGAGGAAUCUGAAAUUUAAAUCUUGGCAUAGUACUGCUCAUAAACUGGACUACCGAUAUUGUUAAUUCAUUCAUUGCUUUGUCGUUUUUUUCUUGACGCUGCGGAAUGCAAUUACUGUUUGUAUUACUUCAUCUCUUUUUUUUUACUUCACCUUUUUUCAA